rnacentral:rRNA from 2 species
GACGAGCCACACAAACGUUAUUCGGAAUCACUGGGCUUAAAGGGUGCGUAGGCUGCGCAGCAAGUUGGGUGUGAAAUCCUACAGCUUAACUGUAGAAGUGCACUCAAAACUGCUGUGCUCGAGGGAGACAGAGGUGAGCGGAACUGAGGGUGGAGCGGUGAAAUGCGUUGAUAUCCUCAGGAACACCGGUGGCGAAAGCGGCUCACUGGGUCUCUUCUGACGCUGAGGCACGAAAGCUAGGGUAGCGAACGGG